CUGCCCGUGUGGCCAUAAUAAAAGCAGGCAGAAGAAUGUGAGAAGACUAGACUGGCUUAGUCUCUGGGCCUACAUCUUUCUACUGUGCUUAAUGCUUCCUGCCCUUGAACAUCAGACUCCAAGUUUUUCAGCUUUGGGACUCUUGGACCUUCGACCACAGACUGAAGGCUGCACUGUCGGCUUCCCUGCUUUUGAGGUUUUGGGACUCGGACUGGCUUCCUUGCUCCUCAGCUUGCAGAGAGCCUAUUGUGGGAUCUCACCAUGUGAUUGUUCUGAGAUGGAGAUAAACACUAAGUGGCCUGUCAAGACCUCUUAUGCUGAUGUUUGAAGAUGUACGGAUAAUUACUGGAACUAAACAUGUAUAAGAUAAUAAAAGAAGUCUUCAUACACUCAAAACUGUUAUUAUAUAAUCCAUUUUAUCAGAUAACAUUGUAAUUGGAUUAUUAAUCAAUAAUAAAAAGAUGAUAAG
rnacentral:lncRNA from 1 species